UGGCGGACGGGUGAGUAACGCGUAGGCAAUCUGCCUUCUAGAUGGGGACAACAUCCCGAAAGGGGUGCUAAUACCGAAUGUUGUAUGAUCUUCGCAUGGAGAUGGUACUAAAGGUGGCCUCUGAAUAUGCUACCGCUAGAAGAUGAGCCUGCGUCUGAUUAGCUAGUUGGAGGGGUAACGGCCCACCAAGGCAACGAUCAGUAGCCGGUCUGAGAGGAUGAACGGCCACACUGGGACUGAGACACGGCCCAGACUCCUACGGGAGGCAGCAGUGGGGAAUCUUCCGCAAUGGACGAAAGUCUGACGGAGCAACGCCGCGUGAGUGAAGAAGGUUUUCGGAUCGUAAAGCUCUUUCGUUAGGGACGAACGUGCUCUUUGUGAAUAAUGAGGAGUAAUGACGGUACCUAAAUAAGAAGCCACGGCUAACUACGUGCCAGCAGCCGCGGUAAU
rnacentral:rRNA from 1 species